rnacentral:rRNA from 1 species
UACGGAGGGUGCGAGCGUUGUCCGGAAUCACUGGGCGUAAAGGGCGCGUAGGCGGCCUGAUAAGUCGGGGGUGAAAUCCUGCGGCUUAACCGCAGGGCUGCCUUCUAAACUGUCAGGCUCGAGCACAGUAGAGGCAGGUGGAAUUCCCGGUGUAGCGGUGGAAUGCGUAGAGAUCGGGAAGAACAUCAGUGGCGAAGGCGGCAUGCUGGGCUGUUGCUGACGCUGAGGCGCGACAGCGUGGGGAGCAAAAGGG